GAUGAACGCUAGCUACAGGCUUAACACAUGCAAGUCGCGGGGCGAGCGAUGUUACUGGCGUUGCCACGUAAUGAUGGCGACCGGCGCACGGGUGAGUAUCGCGUAUCCAACCUUCCCAUAUCCACGGGAUAGCCUGCCGAAAGGCAGAUUAAUACCGUAUGUUGUCGCACGCUGGCAUCAAAAUGCGACGAAAGGCUUAGCGGAUAUGGAUGGGGAUGCGUCCGAUUAGCUUGACGGCGGGGUAACGGG
rnacentral:rRNA from 1 species